UGUUUUAGUCUAGUUAGAGGAACCUGUUUUAUAAAUGAUACGACACGCAUUAUCUUACUUGCUUUGGCGACCUAGCUUGUAUACCGUCAUUAUAAGAUAAUUUGGGAGAAAACAUUGUUAGAAUCAUAUUAUUGAAUAUAUUAGAUCAAGGUGCAGCUUAUAGGUAAGUAAACAUGGGUUACAAUAAGAUUUAUUUAACACGAAUUAGAUAUUUAAAUAUCUCUAUGAAGGAGGAUUUAAUUGUAAGAGAAGAAAUAAUAAGAUUUUCUGAUAAAAGCUCUAAAUUAU
rnacentral:rRNA from 1 species